rnacentral:rRNA from 1 species
UACGUAGGGGGCUAGCGUUGUCCGGAAUCAUUGGGCGUAAAGCGCGUGUAGGCGGUUCGGUAAGUCCGCUGUGAAAGUCGGGGGCUCAACCCUCGGAUGCCGGUGGAAACUGUCGGACUAGAGUACGGAAGAGGCGAGUGGAAUUCCUGGUGUAGCGGUGAAAUGCGCAGAUAUCAGGAGGAACACCGAUGGCGAAGGCAGUGUUCUGGGCCAGUACUGCGCUGGAGGAGCGAAAGCGUGGGGAGCAAACAGG